rnacentral:rRNA from 1 species
CCUACGGGAGGCAGCAGUGGGGAAUCUUGCACAAUGGGCGAAAGCCUGAUGCAGCAACGCCGCGUGAGUGAUGAAGGCCUUCGGGUCGUAAAGCUCUGUCCUCAGGGAAGAUAAUGACGGUACUUGAGGAGGAAGCCCCGGCUAACUACGUGCCAGCAGCCGCGGUAAUACGUAGGGGGCAAGCGUUAUCCGGAUUUACUGGGGGUAAAGGGGGCGUAGGUGUCUUCUUAAUUCGGAGGUGAAAGGCGACGGCUCAACCGUCGUAAGCCUUGGAAAAUGUGAAACUUGAGUGCAGGAGAGGAGAGUGGAAUUCCUAGUGUAGCGGUGAAAUGCGGAGAUAUUAGGAGGAACACCAGUGGCGAAGGCGGCUCACUGGACUGUAACUGACGCUGAGGCACGAAAGCGUGGGGAGCAAACAGGAUUAGAGACCCCUGUAGUC